rnacentral:rRNA from 1 species
GGAUGAACGCUGGCGGCGUGCUUAACACAUGCAAGUCGAACGGGAAACCUUUUAUUGAAGCUUCGGCAGAUUUAGCUGGUUUCUAGUGGCGGACGGGUGAGUAACGCGUGGGUAACCUGCCUUAUACAGGGGGAUAACAACCAGAAAUGGUUGCUAAUACCGCAUAAGCGCACAGGACCGCAUGGUCCGGUGUGAAAAACUCCGGUGGUAUAAGAUGGACCCGCGUUGGAUUAGCUAGUUGGCAGGGUAACGGCCUACCAAGGCGACGAUCCAUAGCCGGCCUGAGAGGGUGAACGGCCACAUUGGGACUGAGACACGGCCCAGACUCCUACGGGAGGCAGCAGUGGGGAAUAUUGCACAAUGGGGGAAACCCUGAUGUAGCGACGCCGCGUGAAGGAAGAAGUAUCUCGGUAUGUAAACUUCUAUCAGCAGGGAAGAUAGUGACGGUACCUGACGAAGAAGCCCCGGCUAACUACGUG